rnacentral:rRNA from 1 species
AGUGAACGCUGGCGGUAGGCCUAACACAUGCCAGUCGAACGGCAGCACAGUAAGAGCUUGCUCUUACGGGUGGCGAGUGGUGGACGGGUGAGGAAUACAUCGGAAUCUACUUUUUCGUGGGGGAUAACGUAGGGAAACUUACGCUAAUACCGCAUACGACCUACGGGUGAAAGCAGGGGAUCUUCGGACCUUGCGCGAUUGAAUGAGCCGAUGUCGGACUAGCUAGUUGGCGGGGUAAAGGCCCACCAAGGCGACGAUCCGUAGCUGGUCUGAGAGGAUGAUCAGCCACACUGGAACUGAGACACGGUCCAGACUCCUACGGGAGGCAGCAGUGGGGAAUAUUGGACAAUGGGCGCAAGCCUGAUCCAGCCAUACCGCGUGGGUGAAGAAGGCCUUCGGGUUGUAAAGCCCUUUUGUUGGGAAAGAAAAGCAGCAGGUUAAUACCCCGCUGUUCUGACGGUACCCAAAGAAUAAGCACCGGCUAACUUCGUG